ensembl:lincRNA Xist inactive X specific transcripts
UGUUUGCUCGUUUCCCGUGGAUGUGCGGUUCUUCCGUGGUUUCUCUCCAUCUAAGGAGCUUUGGGGGAACAUUUUUAGUUCCCCUACCACCAAGCCUUAUGGCUUAUUUAAGAAAACAUAUCAAAAUUCCACGAGAUUUUUGACGUUUUGAUAUGUUCUGGUAAGAUUUUUUUUUUGACAUGUCCUCCAUACUUUUUGAUAUUUGUAAUAUUUUCAGUCAAUUUUUCAUUUUUAAGGAAUAUUUCUUUGUUGUGCCUUUUGGUUGAUACUUGUGUGUGUAUGGUGGACUUACCUUUCUUUCAUUGUUUAUAUAUUCUUGCCCAUCGGGGCCACGGAUACCUGUGUGUCCUCCCCGCCAUUCCAUGCCCAACGGGGUUUUGGAUACUUACCUGCCUUUUCAUUCUUUUUUUCUUCUUAUUUUUUUUCUAAACUUGCCCAUCUGGGCUGUGGAUACCUGCUUUUAUUCUUUUUUUCUUCUCCUUAGCCCAUCGGGGCCAUGGAUACCUGCUUUUUGUAAAAAAAAAAAAAAAAAAAAAAAACCUUUCUCGGUCCAUCGGGACCUCGGAUACCUGCGUUUAGUCUUUUUUUCCCAUGCCCAACGGGGCCUCGGAUACCUGCUGUUAUUAUUUUUUUUUCUUUUUCUUUUGCCCAUCGGGGCUGUGGAUACCUGCUUUAAAUUUUUUUUUUCACGGCCCAACGGGGCGCUUGGUGGAUGGAAAUAUGGUUUUGUGAGUUAUUGCACUACCUGGAAUAUCUAUGCCUCUUAUUUGCGUGUACUGUUGCAGCUGAUCGUUUGGUGCUGUGUGAGUGAACCUAUGGCUUAGAAAAACGACUUUGCUCUUAAACUGAGUGGGUGUUCAGGGCGUGGAGAGCCCGCGUCCGCCAUUAUGGCUUCUGCGUGAUACGGCUAUUCUCGAGCCAGUUACGCCAAGAAUUAGGACACCGAGGAGCACAGCGGACUGGAUAAAAGCAACCAAUUGCGCUGCGCUAGCUAAAGGCUUUCUUUAUAUGUGCGGGGUUGCGGGAUUCGCCUUGAUUUGUGGUAGCAUUUGCGGGGUUGUGCUAGCCGGAAGUAGAAAGCCAAGGAGUGCUCGUAUUAGAGUGCGGUGUUGCGCGGAAGCCGCAGAGGACUAGGGGAUAGGGCUCAGCGUGGGUGUGGGGAUUGGGCAGGGUGUGUGUGCAUAUGGACCCCUGGCGCGGUCCCCCGUGGCUUUAAGGGCUGCUCAGAAGUCUAUAAAAUGGCGGCUCGGGGGCUCCACCCGAGGCUCGACAGCCCAAUCUUUGUUCUGGUGUGUAGCAAUGGAUUAUAGGACAUUUAGGUCGUACAGGAAAAGAUGGCGGCUCAAGUUCUUGGUGCGGUAUAACGCAAAGGGCUUUGUGUGUCACAUGUCAGCUUCAUGUCUGAGUUAGCCUGGAGAGGUGGCACAUGCUCUUGAAUGUGUCUAAGAUGGCGGAAGUCAUGUGACCUGCCCUCUAGUGGUUUCUUUCAGUGAUUUUUUUUUUUGGCGGGCUUUAGCUACUUGGCGGGCUUUGCCCGAGGGUACACUUGGUGCAUUAUGGUAGGGUGUGGUUGGUCCUACCUUGUGCCACUCGAAGCUGAGGCAAGGCUAAGUGGAAGUGUUGGUUGCCACUUGACGUAACUCGUCAGAAAUGGGCACAAGUGUGAAAGUGUUGGUGUUUGCUUGACUUCCAGUUAGAAAUGUGCAUUAUUGCUUGGUGGCCAGGAUGGAAUUAGACUGUGAUGAGUCACUGUCCCAUAAGGACGUGAGUUCGCUUGGUACUUCACGUGUGUCUUUAGUCAUCAUUUUUUCGAAGUGCCUGCCCAGGUCGGGAGAGCGCAUGCUUGCAAUUCUAACACUGAAGUGUUGGAUGAUGUCGGAUCCGAUUCGAGAGACCGAGGCUGCGGGUUCUUGGUCGAUGUAAAUCAUUGAAACCUCACCUAUUAAAAGAAAGAAAAGUAUCUAAGGCCAUUUCAAGGACAUUUGACUCAUCCGCUUGCGUUCAUAGUCUCUUACAGUGCUCUAUACGUGGCGGUGCAAACUAAAACUCAGCCCGUUCCAUUCCUUUGUAUUGUUCAGUGGCCUAAGACUAGUCUACUUACACCUUGGCCUCUGAUUUAGCCAGCACUGAUCUCAAGCGGUUCUCUAAGCCUACUGGGUAUAAGUGGUGACUUUGGCCAGAGUCAUAGUGGAUCACAAAUCACUGGUGAAGAGGUAGAAUCCUACCUUCUUCCAAAAUCUACCCCAUGACUAUUGCUGGGGUUGCAUUUUGAUUUCAAUGAAUAUUUUGGAUGCCAACAACACGUCUGAUAGUGUGCUUUGCUAGUGUUUGAAUUUAAAACCGAAGUGAUUGUUUUCAAAAUGUAUUUAGGGAUUUGCUUACUUGUUGAAUUCAUUUUAAUUACCUUUAGUGAAUUGUUACUUUGGAGUCCUUAAAGUUUUCAAUAAUUUUUUUGGCAGAUGAUACUCAAAUUACUUGGCACUUAAAUGUACUUUCUUUCAAACUCAUCCACUGAGCUACUCUUCAAAUUUUUAAGUCUUAUGACACAGAUACUGUUAAUGUAAAGUGAACAUUAUGACUGGAUGUCAGGAGUAUUUGAGGUUCUAUACCAGUUCAGGCUUUGCUUUUGUUGCUAUUGUUGAUGCUAUAUUGACUAAUGGUUUUACUUGUCAGCAAGAGCCUUGAAUUGUAAUGCUCUGUGUCCUCUAUCAGACUUACUGUUAUAAUAGUAAUAUUAAGGCCUACAUUUCAACUUUCUGUGUGUUCUUGCCUUUAUGGCAUCUAGAUUCUCCUCAAGACUCAGCAAAUAGUGCUGCUGCUAUUGCUGCCCCAGCCCCAGCCCCAGCNNNNNNNNNNNNNNNNNNNNNNAACCAACCCAAUCCAGUCCAGCCCUGCCCCAGCCCAGUCCUAGCCCCAGGCCUAGAUACUUUCAGACCUAUCCCAAGCCCACUUCUACUUAGAGAAAUUCGAAUCUUCAUUGAUUCAGAUGGAAUUUCACUUAAUGCAUAGAAUCGUAUUGCUAAAAUGCAGUGCCCAUCACUCANNNNNUAAGACUGAGAUAGCGCAUUUAUACCCCAUACCCCCUCCAUACUGACUUCUAGGGUCAUGGAAUUUCACUUAAUACAUAGAAUCGUAUUGCUAAAAUGCAGGCAUACGGUCCUAUUGCUAAAAUGCAGUGCCCAUCACUCAGCCUAUAAGACUGAGAUAGCCCAUCUAUACCCCCUCCAUACUGACUUCUAGGGUCAUGGAAUUUCACUUAAUGCAUAGAAUUGUAUUGCUAAAAUGCAGUGUCCAUUACUCAGCCUAUAAGACUGAGAUAUCCCUAUGUAUACCCCAUAGCCCCUCCAUACUGACUUCCAGAGACAUAGAAUUUCACUUUGCAUACGGUCCUAUUGCUAAAAUGCAGUGCCCAUCACUCAGCCUAUAAGACUGAGAUAUCCCUAUCUAUACCCUCUACCCCCUCCAUACUGACUUCCAGAGUCAUGGAAUUUCACAUAAUGUAUAGAUUUCUAUUGCUAAAAUGCAGUGCCCAUAACUCAGCCUAUAAGACUGAGAUAGCCCAUCUAUACCCCCUCCAUACUGAGUUCCAGAGUCAUGGAAUUUCACUUAAUGCAUGCAGUCCUAUUGCUAAAAUGCAGUGCCCAUCACUCAGCCUAUAAGACUGAGCCCAUCUAUACCCCAUACCCCCUCCAUACUGACUUCCAGAGUCAUGGAAUUUCACUUUGCAUACAGUCCUACUUUACUUGUCCAUGGACAAGUAAACAAAGAACUCUUGUCCUUCAUGUUAAUCAAGAUACACCAAUCAAACAAGAGUUUUAUAUCAGAGACUUGCCAUGGAGGUAUCAUCUCUCAAGUCUCCUUUCCUUUAAGGAAAGAAAACCAUUCUGUCAUUGCUGUAGUAGUCACAGUCCCAAGUUUCUAAGCAGUGUUCAGUCGUCUUUUCUCAUGUAUUACCUUGAGUACUGAAUAAUUCUGUCAGAAAUAUUUUGUCCAUUGGAUUAGACUUUAGCUAGUCCAGCCCUGUGUGCAUUUAGCAAAGGGGCAAACACAGGUCUGUUAUCAGACAGUUAAAGUGCUCAGUCCCAAUUUUCAAGGCAUUGGCCAUUAAAGGGGGUAGAAUACUAUAUACUGUUGGCAUGCUGUCAUUGGUGCUAUCGCCCCAGGUCACAUCUUUCUAACUGAUGGAGAUACAUUUAUUUGCUCAUGAUAUUGUAUACUAGUCUCACAUGCUUUCUUAUUUCAGCCAAAAACCUCUGCACUGGAACAUUUUAUGUGGAUAAUCCUGACUAGGAAUUGAGUCUUUUCUCAAGGUCCUAAUACUACCCUUGCUUUAUGUAAAGAGGGUGCUGAUUUCUUAAUGCCUCUUAUACAAUUGUGCAAAAUUGCAGUUGUUCAAGUCCCCUUCUGUUAGUAACCAAGAUCCCAUACCCUCAUACCCUAAUGGGUGACAAUCAAGGGUGCCAACCAAUGAGACCACUUCUCUGUUCUGGUCUUUCUGCUGUGCUGGGGAAUCAAACCUUGAGUCUUGUGUACGCUAGUAAAGCACUGUCAUAGAGCUACAGCCCCACCGUGUGGUGGUUUGAGAGAACAGUCUCUUAUGUAGCCUGGGCUGGGCGGGACUUACAGGCAUUGCCACCUGUAAUGUAAACAUAUUUGUGCCUGUUGUGUGCACAGCUGCAUUUGUCCCUCUUCCUAAGCAUUGGAUAAAGAAACCAAACUAAGUCAAGUCAUUUUGUUGGUAAUCAAGAAGACCUUUGAUCUGUCCUGUUUUUAACUUCCAGGCUGGCCUGGAACUUAGUAUAUAGCCCAGGCUAGCCUUGAGCUCAGGAUCUAGCCUGCGUUUAACAAGUGUUGGCAUAUCUGGUUCCUACCACUAUGCCCUGCAUGCAGUCUUUCAUAUUGUGAAUGUGCAUAUGUCAUUUCACUGUAGUAAUCUGCAUCUGGUGAAGACUUAUUUGUAUUGCAGCAGUAUUUAAGAUCCUUAACAUAGUAAAUGUGCAGUGUUAACUCUAUUGUACAUAUUCUCAUGUCCACAGUUGUGCCUUUUAGAUCAGGACUCCUGUACUUAGCAAAGCAAAGAGGCUCACUAAUAUAAAGCUUCUUUCAUGAGACUAUAGAUUGAAACGAUUCCAAUACGGUCAAUGGUCCUUCAAGGUAAGACUUCUGUCUCUGAUCAUUCAUAUCCUCUUUGCUUUAUGGAAUUAUGUAUGUGCUGUGCACUUGAAACCCCUUCCUCAAACUAUUUAUGUACAUACUGGCAAUUUUAGUAGGAUCAAUUUUACUCUUAACUUUGAAGUACAGAAGUGGUGUUGACCUAUAAGGUCCCAUUUUGUGGCUUGCUAAUAAUAAUGACUGAUUGUAGUAGGCCUUUUCUGUUCACUACAGAAGGAAACCUGAACAGCGUAAAACUGUAAUGGCCAUAAGCAUGUACCUUGCAUAUUAGUAUGCAUUUACUGCACACAUCUCAUUCCAUUUGGAUACGAUCCUACUCUCAAACCCUUUUGCAGUACAGCAAGGGUCACUAAUCUUUUGGCUUCUUCAUCUUCCUGGACACUGGAUAAGGCUGUCCCCUCCUUUCCACUCUUUAAUUUCCAGGACUAUUACUUUAAAGACUUAAUAUUUGCAUAAAGGAUGGGGUUUUUAAUUGAUAACAUGUCCCUUGAACAUUAAUGUAUAUAACAGGGACAUGAUCCAUUCAUUUUAAUAAAAAUACUUGGCCAGUUAAUGUGUAAAAUUACACUUAUCCACAACCUUAUUACUUUUCGGACCAUUGUAUCUCUUGCACUCCUGCAAGGGAUACCGUUUAUCUCCCAAGGUCCCUGCUAGUGGACCAUUAAUAUACAGUGAAUCUUCCUUUGUCUUUGCCAGUAAACAAAGGCCAUACUCCUUCGCCUUUCAUUUGCACUAUAUCAGGAUAUGCUGAUCAACAAGGCCGCAUUCUUUUGGACUGUUAUCAUAUAUUAAAUGUAUGCGUAUGCACUGCCACCUGCUCUGUGCACUUGAAAGGAUCCCACUCACUUCCUUAGCACCUUCAGCAGGAAGUGAUAAUAAGCUCAAGACUUUCAUUUGGAAAGUUCACAUGUCUAAGCACUUCUCUAAGAACUACUGUACCCUCUUCUCCGCUUUAAAGCAGAAAGAGGGUUGUACGAAGUGCUCUUCAUUUGGACUUAAGUGCAUUAAUGCAGUUAGUUGUCCAUCAUUACCUUUGGAGUUGGAUUUUACAUCCUUGUACUCUUUUGACACCAGAGGCAUAUUAAUUAUUUCUGAGCACUUCUCUUGUCAAUAUUAAUCUGUACCCUUACACAUAUGACCUGUGCGGCAGCAAAGGUUCUGAAAUGCCUACCUUUUGACUGGGGCUGCUGAGUGGUAGUAACUAUUAGUAACCUCAGCAUUUGGAUGAUUACUAUGCAAAAAUGUCAAGGACCUGUGUGCUCUCUUUGCAUACCAUCAAGGCUACUGAGUCCCAGAAUUAAUUGCUAAGUUAUGCGUAUUUAUAACUAUGAAUGUCUGGAAUAUUUUGUCCCCUUACAUUAUUGCAGAGGUUGCUGAGCCCCCGAAACUACCCGGUACUGUCAAUGAGCACAGGGGCUCUGACGAAUGACCUGCUCUCUUCCUUAAACUGAUUUUGGGACUCUUAAUAGGCACAAUGGCAGUUCUGAAUGGUUUAUUUUCUACUCCAACUUGAGCAAAUCCCCUGCUAGUUUCCCAAUGAUAUAAUAAAGUACAGCAGUAUGUACACCCAACAAUGACCCGGAUUUCGACCCUUUUUGCAUUGCUUUAAUAUAUACAAUCCUAAAUAGUCACAAUCUCACACUUUAUAGUGUUCCUUUUGCCCGGCCUCUAGUUUGUCCAUUGACCACUUUUCUGAAUCACUAAUUCUCACAAACCCAUCAUUAAGGAAGAGUUUGUGCCCUUUCUCAAUUCCAUCAUGCCAUCCCUUUUGCCUCUUUGUUUGAACAGUAUUGACUGGGCAAAGCCCUUCUCUUGACUUAAAGUCAACAACACCAGUUUACUCACUUCAUAUGGCUACAGUGUCUCAGUUGCCUUCUCCUUGCUCCCACUGAACAGAGACACCUCGAAUUCUUACAUUAUUCUGGGUAAUGUUAAUUACCCCAAACACCCUAUGUGUCAUUAAUAAAUUUUGGUGUAUUUAUACACUGAAUAGCAAAAGCAGGCCAAAACUAGGUGGAUGAGCCUUCAAUCUUUAACUUGCACUUCUAAAUUAUUCCAAUUCCAACUGCUGGCACAUUCUAGGGCCAGGAACCAUUCUUGCCUACCUUUAUUAAUGCUUUAUUGUGCAAAAUAUUGCAGGCAAGUAGCUCAGGGAGUUGGAUUGCCACCUUUUACUUGGGGCUUUCCUUUACAGUAUGAACUGAAAAUUGUCUUCCUGAGAAGGAAGCUUAGCACUUUUCUCUCCAUUCUUCCUCCAGGAAGGAGCCAACUGUCUGCUUAAGAAACUUUAAGCCCGAUUUUGUAUAUUGCUACUGUACAGGACCAACUGCCAGAAAAGUUAUUGAUAAUUUUAUUCCUUAAGAAAGGCAUUUGGAUUGCAAGGUGGAUUGACUGUGAGAUCAUUAGCUUUUGUGAAGUAAAAAUAGCCAUUUGUGUCAUGUUUCUGAAGACUAAGCAGUGUCUCAGUGUACUGAGGGUGAUGAGUCUGUGGAAAGAUCAGUGCAGAAUGUUUAAGACAAGUAUCUUUGCUUGGUCUUUACUACAAGUUUAACAAAACGAAAAAGUCAAUCUUUGUGUGGCCUUUAGUAUGAUUAACUUUUUGGAAGAUGACCUAAGCCUUCUAAUCAUUAUAUUUUGUCUGACAUUGGUCACCAGUCCUUGCUUAUUUUUAAAAGGUGACUGGAUGGAUUAAAUUUGAGAACAUGUCAAGUCGCCUUUGAAAAUUAUAUAGGCCAUCACAUUUAAUUAAUUCAUUCUAUCCACCAUUAAAUUCUGGCAAUAAUUUGAAGUAGCUUGAAAAUUCCUAAAGUGGGAAUUUAUUUUAGAGAUGAUAGAACCUGUUUCCCCACUUUACAUUUUAAAAUAUGUCUGCCAGGAUCUAAUCAUUCCUUUAAACGUACACUUCAAAGAGAGAUUUGCCUAGUAAGAAAAGAGCUUUCUCUAGUGUGAAGGGUGCUUUGUAGCCGCCGAGUACUUAGGUCUUUUUUGGGAGCUAUUGUGUAUGAGUGUAUGUAUGUGUGUGUGUACAUGCAUGUUGCUGCGCGCAGUCAUUCAUUCACAUGGUGCUCAGACAACAAUGGGAGCUGGUUCGUCUAUCUUGUGGGUCCUGGAGAUCAAAGUGAGAUCAUCAGGCUUGGCAGCAAGUGCCUUUACCCUCCGCGUGCCAUCUUGCCAUCCCGCUGCUGAGUGUUUGAUAUGACAUUGCUGAUGAAAAUAAUCAUCACAACAGCAGUUCUCCCGGCAUUACUGAGAAAUGAUACUAUUUUUCUGAGGAGGAUGUUCAAGUAACUCAUCCAGUGCAGGAUCCUGCUUGAACUACUGCUCCUCCGUUACAUCAGACUCUGGCUGUUUAGACUACAGGAUGAAUUUGGAGUCUGUUUUGUGCUCCUGCCUCAAGAAGAAGGAUUGCCUGGAUUUAGAGGAGUGAAGAGUGCUGGAGAGAGCCCAAAGGGACAAACAAUCCCUAUGUGAGAUUCAAGGACUGCCAGCAGCCUAUACAGCUACAUUACAUCUCAGCAGAACUUCUCUUCAAGUCCUCGCUACUCUGAACAAAAAGCUUACAGGCCACAUCGAGAAAAAAGAUCUCCCCCCAGAAUUGUGGGCUUGCUGCUUUGCAGUGCUGGCGACCUAUUCCCUUUGACGAUCCCUAGGUGGAGAUGGGGCAUGAGGAUCCUCCAGGGGAAUAGCUCACCACCACUGGGCAACAGGCCUAGCCUAGAUUUCAGUGAGACGCUUUCCUGAACCCAGCAAGGAAGACAAAGGCUCAAAGAAUGCCACCCUACAUCAAAGUAGGAGAAAAGCUGCUGCAAUAGUGGCACUGACCUUCGAGGAAGCCAUUCUGCUCUAUUUGGUUCUCUCUCCAGAAGCUAGGAGAACUUUGCCAGCUGUUUACAUACUUCAAGAUGCACUGCUACCCUACUCAUGCCAUAUAAUACACAAUGCCAUCUACCAAAUAUUACCCUUCCCCAAAGCAGCACAGAAAACUGGGUCUUCAGCAUGAUCAAGCAAUGUGAACACACAAAAGGAAGGCAGCUUUAUAAAUGACCCGAGGAUCAACAUGCCUGACUGCAGCAUCUUAAAAGCAAUAGAAUGAGUGUGUAUUGUGUUGUGUGUCUAUUUCUUGUUUUAUGUAUCUAUUUUUUCCUUGGUCUGUGUGUCUAAUUCUUUGUUACAUCUAUUUCUUCCUUGCUUUGUGUGUCUAUUUCUUCCUUGCAUUGUGUCUAAUUCUUUGUUAUAUCUAUUUCUUCCUUGCUUUGUGUGCCUGUCUUCCUUGCUUUGUGUCUAUUUCUUCCUUGCAGUUGUGUCUAAUUCUUUGUUACAUCUAUUUCUUCCUUGCUUUGUAUGUCUAUUUCUUCCUUGCAUUGUGUCUAAUUCUUUGUUAUAUCUAUUUCUUCCUUGCUUUGUGUGUCUGUCUUCCUUGCUUUGUGUCUAUUUCUUCCUUGCAGUUGUGUCUAAUUCUUUGUUACAUCUAUUUCUUCCUUGCUUUUGUGUGUCUUUCUUUCUUGCUUUUGUGUGUCUAUUUCUUCCUUGCAGUUGUGUCUAAUUCUUUGUUACAUCUAUUUCUUCCUUGCUUUUGUGUGUCUAUUUCUUCCUUGCAUUGUGUCUAAUUCUUUGGUAUAUAUAUUUCUUCAUUGCUUUGUGUGUCUAUGUCUCCUUGUGUUGUCUAAUUCGUUGUUGCAUCUAUUUCUUCCUUGCUUUGUGUGUCUAUUUCUUCCUUGCUUUGUGUGUCUGUCUUCCUUGCUUUGUGUGUCUAUGUCUUCCUUGUUUUGUGUAUCUACUUCUUCUUUGUGUAUCUACUUCUUCCUUGUGUGUCUAAUUCUUUGUUACAUCUAUUUCUUCCUUCCUUUGCAUGUCUCCUUCUUUCCUUUGUGUGUCUUUUCUGUCUGCAGUGUGUCUUACCUAUUCCCAUGUUUCUCCUGCAUGUUCUUUCUUGCAGAGCUUUGAGCUUUGUUUCACUUUCUCUGGUGCCUGUGUGGUCUGCUUUGUCUUCACUAGCUAUGGCUCUCUGUUUUAUCUAUCUGGUUGCUAUUUCUCUUAGCUUUUCUUUCACUCCUGCCUUUCGUGACUCCCCUUUGGGUCACAUGUUGCAUGCAUCCCUCUCUUUUUCUUGUGCUCACCCCACUUGUUCUUUGUUCAAGUUCUCUUUGUCAGUCCAUUUCAGUUUUCUUUCUGCUGCUUCUAUCCUUAGUGAAUUCUUGUUUACAUUUCUUUCCUGCCUUUCUUGGGCCACUUUCUCUGUUUUCUUUUGUAUUUGUGUCUCUUUGCUAUUGGUGGAUUUCUUAUCUCAGCAUCAUUCUGUUGCUUUGUGUUUGCUUGUGUUUCUAUCUUCUACUUUCCUCCUUUCUGUUCACUUUGAGCAUUUCAUCUCUUUACAAGUCUGUGUCUCUCUUGUAUUCUAAAGUAAUCCUUUCUUGGAUGUUUCUUUGUAUGUACAUGUGCGUGUGUGCAUGUGUGUUAUGUGUGUCAUGUGUGACAGGGGCUUCAUAGCCCCUUCCCAAUAGGUCCAGAAUGUCACCUGUGGAGCCGUUCCUCACACCAGACUGCCCUGAGAAAUAAUCUAAGACAAAAUACAUCAUUCCGUCCGGUCAGGAUUCAAGUGGCUCUGAAGUGAACACCCAAGUAGAAGACAGAAGUUUUGCGACUUGAGAUUUAAAAGGACCAAAAUACACAGAUGGCUGGACAGAAUGCUGACAACCCAAAGAAGAGGAACUGUUUCUACAGGACACCUGUGACUUCCAAGAGCGGAGAACUACGUAUGUCAUAAGACACAAAACCUGAGCUAAGUCCAAGCAUAAGACCUAAGGACCCAAUCCUAUAUGGACAGAAUAUUUAAGAGAUAAAGGCCUAUGGCCCAGAACUCUGGAAGGAUAUUUCUAUCCUUCUAUCCCCAAGACCAAGAAGGGAAAUUCGAAGAUGAGACCUGCCCCCCAACCCCAGCAUCCCUUUCCAUUUCUUAUAUUUCUAUUUAAGCUGUCUUCACUUGAGAUGUAAUUUUUCAUUGUUGCCAUUGCCCAUAAAGGAAUACGUUUUUAGCUGGAUAGUAUUGUGCAAGGGUCUGUUUUAAAUUGGGUCUUAGCCAUUUGUUAAAUUGUUGAUGUUUUACAACUUCCAUUUCUCUUCACAUCUGCUCCACUUGAGACGGAACUAAAUCCAGCCAGUGUAUAUAGCCUGACUAUUGAAACUUCCCUAGGAAUAAGCAUGCAUACAGAUAUGCAUACUGCCAUCCUCCCUACCUCAGAAGCCCUAGGCUGACAAGAAAAGGAAAGCAUCAGGUUGUUAGGGGGAAAACAAUGUCAGGCUAUCUAGAGAAAAUAUAAAGAGUUGUUCCAGACCAAUAAGAAGAAUUAGACAAGCAAUAUGCAGAUGUGCCAACCCUCUGAGAAGCACCAGCCAGUGUCACCUUCCUUCUUUGGGCUUAGGUGAGCAGGGUAUGGUUUUCUAAUAAUGGUUUGGGGACAAAAUGAGGUCUGAACUCCCUGCUCAUAGUAGUGGCCGAGUAAUUUGGUGCAUUUCACCAAAGGAACUCCUGGGUCUAAUACCUACCUUUAAAAUUAAUGAUGAGAGACUCUGAGGACUACUUAACGGGCUUAAUCUUUUUCGUGCCUUCCUCUUCCUCUGUAAGAGGGAAGUUAAAUGACACAGGAUGAAAAAGUAACAUGUUCAUAGCACAUUGGCAAUUAUACAUGGUUAUUAUCUGAAAGUGUAGAGCUUUUCCUAUAAGGCAUCAGACUGUAAGUACCUGAAGCUUUGUGGGUUCAUGGUCUUAGUUGCAUAUUCCUUAGUUGCAAAUCCUUUUCAAAAGGUAAGAAAAAGGCACACUGGUCUAUUGCCUGUACUUGAUCAAGCCCUGAUAUGAAUGCCAGGGAAUGUCUGAGUAACAUUAAUUUCCUUCCCUGCAUAUUUUUUUGUGCUGAAUACUAAGGCUGUGAUGCUUCACUGUGGUCACCCCCAGGUAACAAGAUAUUACCAGGUAACCAAGAAACGUAUGAAUACGUAAACCAUGAAGCCUACUGUAACUUCCGAGUCAGUGCUGACGAAUGAGCACGUAUUACAUAGUAGCUGAAGUCUAUGCCUCUAUGUGCUAUAGGCACAAAGAUUGCUCUAGGAAUAACAUGCUUUGUAAAAACAAAUAUAUGAACAUAACGGGGCUUGAAUGAAUAACAGUCCAUAUACUUAAGGCCAGUGUGUUUCUUCUGCUUUGGUGAGGCUCAGUAAGUUAUAUUAUACCAGGUAGCAGAAGAGAAAACACAUGGAAACUGAUUUUAAACUACAAACUAGGUCACUAAUGCAGGUGAUUGAUUACCCUAUUCUGAUCACCUUCUAAUUUCUGAAUACCCAUGUUCAGCACUGGGAAUAACAAAGGGGGACAUUACCACAGAACUAGAAUUUACAAAAGAAUGCAUUAAAGAAAGCAUUAUACAGCUAUCAAUUGUUCCAUGUGUGCAAAAGAAUGACUACUAACUACCUCUGAUGUAUCCGAUAUUGUUUUGGGUACAUGAAAUAUUCAUGAGUAACUGCCAUGAAAUAAGAAUGUUUGCAUUCCAUACUAUUCAUAAGGAAUGAGCCAAUGCUUAAUUUAAUCAGUCAAAACUUGAGUGAUAAGGGCAUGUUAAUACAACAACAUUUGCCCAGGUCACAUUAUGGUUGUGGGUACUUUCUUAACUAUAAAGCAGUUCAGUAGUAUAAGACAAGACAAAUUUUCUAUAGAAAUAAAGCUGCCUAUAAAAUAGGCAUGGUCUCUACAAAAUUUUCAUUGUACUUUUUGGCCCAUAAUGGGAAGAGUACAGUUAACAAGCUGGGUGUGGUAGCAUGUGCUCUGAGCUCAGGUAGCUGAAGCAACAGGACCACUUGAGCCCAGAAAUUGGAGGCUAGCCUGGGAAGACCAUAAGGUCAAUCUCAAACCUGGAGGCUAAAUAUUGUCUCCCAUGUGUAUAUUCUCUUUCAUGGGUACUGGAGAGAUACACAGACGUACAUUUCAGUGUGUCCACACUUGAGAAUAAUAUGUACGUUGACAUUUUAUGAACUCGGAGGUACCAUAUAAAUGUAACAAUUCAUUUUCUUACUUGGUAUCAAUUUCCAGGCUUUUAAAAUUCUGCCACAUUUAUUAUACUGUGAAAAUAAAGUAAAUAAGUAACUGUGAAUCACUGAAUAUAUGAAGCAUUCAAUACUUGAUGAGUACAUACUGAAUGGCAGUCAUUUAUUACAAAACAGUGCCCUUGCUAGGCACUGGGAUGCAAAGAACAUUCUCAUUGUCCUGUGUAUCUAAAGAAAUUAUGCAUGAGAUUAAUUUAUAAUUUGUAAACUGCCAUAUAUAUGUGUAUAUAUGCAAUAUUUGCCUGGUGUGCAAUGACUUUGCCUUUAUCCCAGGCAUGCACAACAGAUCUGUGUGGAGCUUUGUGAAGUCUACAGUUCUAUGAAGCCGGGACCUAACUGUUGGCUUUAUCAGUGAACAGUGAUUACUUUCUAAGUUUCAUAAUGGCUGAAACUUAAUCAUAAUGCUUAUCACCUAACACCACCUAAUAAUAAUUUUACCAUGCUAUGUGUUGAGCAAACACAUAGAUUGCUUUCUAGCAUUAUGUAGCACUUAUAGGAGUGAAAUCUAGACCAAAACUUCAAUUCACUUCAAUGAAGAAAUGAAAACAGAAAAAAUGGAUUUGUGUAAGGCAGUGUGCUAAAUGUUACACUGAGUGGACUAUGCUGUCUAGGAUACUUCCCAGCUGGCUUGACUGAGGAGGUGGAAAAGGUUUUAUUAAUGACAGGAACUUUUUCCAUCCAGUUUCUUAAAUGUUGAAAGCUGCUGCCAGAGAUGAAUUACAAACACCUUGCCAGUAAAGGAGUUUUAUAGGGCCAGAGUCAGAUAAUCCCAGAGCAUGGGUAUCAGGGAACAAAACGGGAAGAGGCCAGAGCAUCUGAUGGCAUGUACUCAGUGUGGUCCAGAACCUCUCAAACUAGAUGUACUGGCUGGAGGGACCAAGCAUGCAGAACACAACACCUAAUGAAACAUUGUAUAUAAAAUAUGCUAACCUAGGUCCUAAAACUAAAAUGUGAGGUGGACCUAGUGUAGAUCACUGAUCAUAGAGGAGACAUGGUCUCAUAAAGCCCAGGCUGGUUCUAAUUGGUGACUGUCACAGCUUCCCAAGUGCUGAGAUUACAGAUGUGCUUCCCCAUGCCCAGCCUGUAGAAUAUAUCUGAUUACUGAGUGAAUAAUAUUUUUUAAAGAAUUAUAUAUUUUAUGUAUAUGAGUAUGCUGUUGCUGUCUUCAGACACACCAGGAGAGGGUACCACAUCACAUUACAGAUGGUUGUGAGCCACCAUGUGGUUGUUGGGAUUUGAACUCAGGACCUUCGGAAGACCAGUCAGACUCUUAACCACUGAGUCAUCUCUCCAGCCUUCUGAGUAAAUAUUUUAACUAUAAUGGCUGUUUGCGAAACCCAACCAAGGCCAAGAUUCCUUCAACAUAAACUGGAGACUUCCUAGCUAAGGAAGCUCCAAAAGUCAUUUUCUCAUUGGCCUAGCUUGAAGCCAGGACAGACUUAAAGUCUGUCCUUUAAUUCAUUACCCAUUCUCCUUUUCUUACUGUUGAAGUGUUUCAAAGGAGAAUCAAGAUGAAUCGAUAAUUCUAAACGUAUUUGUUCAUUGCCUGGCUCAGCGUCAUGUGAGCAAGAAGAAUAUACUAUCACACUCAUACUUUUAACUUAAGUGUGAUGAAAGUGCAGUUCUAAGUACUAAAAGUUCUAAGUACUGAAAAGAACAAAGACAUUUAAAGGAUGCAACCCAAAGUGUACUUUACCUCAGUAGUUUCUGAGGGGACUGCAGUCACACCUUGAGACUACAGCUCUCACUUUAGCUGGGAAAAACAUCAAGGUGUAGAGGAGGCAAGUUAAAUAAAAAGUUGCUCCCCUCCUCAUGGGCAUGCUUGGUAGAGUGGAAAUAAUAAAAGAGGUUCUCUAUUUCCUCGGUUCCACACAUUGCAGAAGAUGCUACUGGAUGCUAAGUGCAACACAUUUGUUCCAAAAGGGCACUCAGUGUGACUUACAGAUGCCCCGGAAAGCAGAGGGAUGCUCUUUAUUAAACAGAAAUAUUAGCUCAAACGUUUUCUAGACUGAAGAACACUUUCCUCAUUUCCCACAGUUUGCCUCAGAGGUUGAAUACAGGAAGGUUAUUAUUCAUUCAUUUGCUUUAUUGGUUCGCCUGUUCUACAAGGAUUUGCAUGUCUCUUAGGCCUUCACUUGGCUCCUGAGACAUGGAAAAAGGAAACAUAGACAUAGGGAAGUGCUGGAUGGGGGGGGGUCUCUUUUCUGGGUAGUGGCACGACUUAGUCCUUAGUCCCCAAGUAAUAUGCAAUGUGAGUCCUCAUCCUCAUGUCUUCUCCGGCCACUGCAAUGAGUGGGAAGCUGGGCUUUGUAGCAAGCCUGACCCUAAAGUUACAGAAGCCCUCCACGCUAAGAAACUCAAUUUUCUAGGCCAUUUUAGCUAUGACUGUGACCACUACUGGUCAGGAGGGAUGACAGCCAUCUAAGUUCCACAAUCUUAGGCUACUUUGCAUUAUCCUGGGGCAAACAAGCCAUUUUUGAGCUGCAGCAGGCUUUGAAAUACAUUGACCAAUUUUGCCUGUGUUCGUUAAACCUUUUACCUUUUUACAUGCUAAUGCUCACAGUAAUUUAGAAAUGUUCUCCUUACUAUAAUAUACUCAAGGUGGCUUGCUAUGGUAAAAUAAUGCCAGUGGAUGAAAAUAACAUUAAUGUUUAACAUUCUUGCAUAAAAUUUAAGAAUAAUAAAAUUGACAACAAUCAGAAAACUGGAGGAACGAAAGACCAAAUUGAAAGAACUUGAAAAAGAUUAAAAAUGCCUGUGCUUUGACCCUUUCCAUUUUUCUUUCACUCACAGAGGGUGGGACAGGAGGCCGAGUGAAGGAAAGGGUCCAGCCUGUCUAUCUGGAAUCUAAGUUGGGACUUUAAUGCAGUUCCACAAAAUUGGUAUUAAUUCGCUAAAUGUUUCUGAAAAUGUAUUUUCAUCUAAAUGGCUAUCAGCUAAGCCUCGAGUCAAAUGGGAAUGAAACAGAUUAAGUCAAUGUGAUCUCUUUAUCCAAGUUGCCUUAGAGCUGAAGUCACAAUUUGCUGUAAGGAAGCUUAUUCAUUGUAGCAUACGCAUACUUUCAAAGUAUCUAGACUUUACUUAGUAACCCAAUCAGGACAUUCAGGCAAAAGAAAAGGAACAGAGAAGAUGGAGCCAGGUUGAAGAGGUCUGGGAGUUCAAACAAAUUUUUUUCAUUUUCAUUAAAACUCAAUUGGGCAUCAAAAGUGUUACUAAUAUUAGCUUUUAAUUAGUGGAAAUUGGCUGGAUUCAGUAAUAUCCCUUUGUAUGGGUAGGAAUGGGCUUACAUUUCUGGAAUUUGCAAAGGAAAAAAUAACUGAAAGCCUUCCUUUCACAGUUACUGCCAUCAAUAUUGCUACCAAUUAAGCACAUCCUACCAUCAUCUGCUUUGAUCACAUAAAUGAACUGUGUACCAAUCUGUUGUUGAAAGACUGGAGUCAUCUUCCCACCAACUGUGAAAAAACACAUGGAAAACACCUGGACUUUGUGAACGGAUGCGGAAUACAGAACUUCUGUUGACUCUUGGGUGUUUUGAAGACUUG